rnacentral:rRNA from 1 species
CCAAAAGCUGGCGACCGGCGCACGGGUGAGUAACACGUAUCCAACCUGCCUCAUACUCGGGGAUAGCCUUUCGAAAGAAAGAUUAAUAUCCGAUAGCAUAUAUUUCCCGCAUGGGUUUUAUAUUAAAGAAAUUCGGUAUGAGAUGGGGAUGCGUUCCAUUAGUUUGUUGGGGGGUAACGGCCCACCAAGACUACGAUGGAUAGGGGUUCUGAGAGGAAGGUCCCCCACAUUGGAACUGAGACACGGUCCAG